rnacentral:lncRNA from 1 species
ACUGCGCUUCCGUCGCACAGAGCCUGACGAAGGCUUGGGCUCCCCGCGCGGUGACCGUCGAGGUGACCUGCACCUGGCUCCAUGGCGGAACCGGCCGGCACGGAUUAUUCCCCUCUCGGGAGAGGUCUGCAGCCGGGCCUCAGUGCUUCAGUUCGUGGCCUGGCAUUUUGUGAAGAGUGUCUUCAUCUCUGCAUCCCUAGUGCAACAGAGCAUGACAAAAAUUCAACAAAUAUUUAUUGAAGAGUCUUGAUGUCUUUUGGGAAAGGAACUCUAUGGUUACCUUUACUCUAAGGCAUUGUGAAGACCCUGUUUCUCUAGCUGUGCAGCUGCAAGGUCACUAGGCAGAUAAACUCAAGCCAUAAAACAUGUUUUUCCUUGAAAAUUAAAAACAACAACAACAACAACAAAAACACAAAACCCUGAGGCUCAGAAGAUAAAUAUUUGCUGAAGAUCACUGUGCUUAUUAGAUGGGUGUUACUGAUUCUUACCUCAGAGAAGAGAAUGUCAUGGAGACAAAAUGACCUGCUUAGAGUUCUGCACCCCCCAGCAUGGAGAGCAGAGCGCAAAGAUUUCUUCCGGACUCCCACAUUCCCCUUGGAAUCCAAGAACUGGUCUACUGUCACAACACUUUAGUACCCUCUUGUAAGCCUGUGGACAAAUCCUCUGAUGCCUUGAUACCUCGGUUUUCCCCCACUAUAAAUGGGAAGAUAAAUUCACUAGAAACAGUA